rnacentral:misc_RNA from 1 species
GUGAAUCAUCGAAUUUUUGAACGCACAUUGCGCUUUUUGGUAUCCCGGGGAGUAUGCCUGUUUGAGGGUCAGUAUUAUUAUAAAAUCGGUUUUGUUGCAAAUUGUGCCGUUUCCGGAGUUUGGGCUAUCUUAACAUUUUUGGUUUCGAGGCUUAAAAUUGACAUUUUUUGCGUAUUUUUAAAUGUACAUAAAUUUUUUUUAUUAGUCUAUUCUUAAUGACACACUCAUAUUAGAUGCGAUCACA